GAUGAACGCUGGCGGCGUGCCUAAUACAUGCAAGUCGAGCGAACAGACGAGGAGCUUGCUCCUCUGACGUUAGCGGCGGACGGGUGAGUAACACGUGGAGAACCUACCUAUAAGACUGGGAUAACUUCGUGAAACCGGAGCUAAUACCGGAUAAUAUAUUUAACCGCAUGGUUCAAUAGUGAAAGACGGUUUUGCUGUCACUUAUAGAUGGAUCCGCGCCGCAUUAGCUAGUUGGUAAGGUAACGGCUUACCAAGGCAACGAUGCGUAGCCGACCUGAGAGGGUGAUCCGCCCCACUGGAACUGAGACACGGACCAGCCUCCUAAGGGAGGCAGCAGUAGGGAAUCUUCCGCCAUGGGAGAAAGCUUGACGGAGCAACGCCGCGUGAGUGAUGUAGGUCUUAGGAUCCUAAAACUCUGUUAUUAGGGACGAACAAAUGUGUAAGUAACUAUGCACGUCUUGACGGUACCAAAUCAGAAAGCCACGGCUAACUACGUG
rnacentral:rRNA from 1 species